rnacentral:rRNA from 1 species
AUUGAACGCUGGCGGCAGGCCUAACACAUGCAAGUCGAACGGUAACAGGAAGACGCUUGCUUCUUUGCUGACGAGUGGCGGACGGGUGAGUAAUGUCUGGGAAACUGCCUGAUGGAGGGGGAUAACUACUGGAAACGGUAGCUAAUACCGCAUAACGUCGCAAGACCAAAGAGGGGGACCUUCGGGCCUCUUGCCAUCGGAUGUGCCCAGAUGGGAUUAGCUAGUAGGUGGGGUAACGGCUCACCUAGGCGACGAUCCCUAGCUGGUCUGAGAGGAUGACCAGCCAAACGGGAACUGAGACACGGUCCAGACGCAUACGGGAGGCAGCAGUGGGGAAUAUUGCACAAUGGGCGAAAGCCUGAAGCAGCCAUGCCGCGUGUAGGAAGAAGGCCUUCGGGUUGUAAAGUACUUUCAGCGGGGAGGAAGGGAGUAAAGUUAAUACCUUUGCUCAUUGACGUUACCCGCAGAAGAAGCACCGGAUAACUCCGUG